rnacentral:rRNA from 1 species
AGAUUGAACGCUGGCGGCAGGCCUAACACAUGCAAGUCGAGCGGCAGCACGGGUACUUGUACCUGGUGGCGAGCGGCGGACGGGUGAGUAAUGCCUAGGAAUCUGCCUGGUAGUGGGGGAUAACGCUCGGAAACGGACGCUAAUACCGCAUACGUCCUACGGGAGAAAGCAGGGGACCUUCGGGCCUUGCGCUAUCAGAUGAGCCUAGGUCGGAUUAGCUAGUUGGUGAGGUAAUGGCUCACCAAGGCGACGAUCCGUAACUGGUCUGAGAGGAUGAUCAGUCACACUGGAACUGAGACACGGUCCAGACUCCUACGGGAGGCAGCAGUGGGGAAUAUUGGACAAUGGGCGAAAGCCUGAUCCAAGCCAUGCCGCGUGUGUGAAGAAGGUCUCGGAUUGUAAAGCACUUUAAGUUGGAGAAGGCAGUAAACUAAUACUUUAGCUUGUUUUAGUACGUUAACCGACAAGAAUAAAGCAACCGGCUAACUCUGUAG